GUUUAUGUAUCGAUAUGACAAAAUAUAUGGAUUCUGAGUACUUUUAGAUGAAAAAAUUGCAAAAAAGGCUACUUCCGGUUUUCUCAAGGUCACUUCCGGUAGUCAUUUUUCAAGGUCAUUUGUCACCAAACCUUUUGUACAAGGUCAAAUGCCUUUAUAAUGAACUUAGUUGAAGUUAUAAUCAAAUAACCUCAUAUCAAGACAUUUCAGGGGCAACAACUCCUCUAAGAUGCCAUUUAAUAGUAUAAGACUAAAUGUAGCAUAUCUUCAUUACAAUAAAGCUGACAUUUUGCACUUGUUUUUUAAUAUGUAUCUUUCAAAUUGUCGGAAAAAAUGCAAAAAACAAGCAAAAGUCACAAUUGAGAACUUGACCUUGACCUUUGACCUUGACUUCAUUUUCUAAGUUAGGACCUAGGGGACUCAAAUAAAAAC
rnacentral:lncRNA from 1 species